GCACACAAUAAUCCGCUGACCAGAGUGACUGUGCGAGGGGAGAAGCGUUGAGACAGGAGGGCUGCCACAGGACCAACCAGGAAUGUUAGAAACAGUGCAAUGGAUCCUGCCCAUGCUGGUAAAAUGAUAGAUCAAGAAUAGGUAGAAAGACUCCAAAGCUUUGUGUGAAACCAAAGUGAAGCGAGUUGCACACCGCAGCUGAAAGGCAGCAAAGCCACGCCCAUGCACCAUCUUGGGGGUGGGGAGCACGCCCACACACCAUUGACGGCCUAUUUAGUGGAAUGCAGUAUUUAGAUAUAGCCUUUUCAAGAAACGUUGUCGGUGCCAAAGGGUAAAGACAAAAGAGACAAGUGUAUACCGAACAGAAUCACGGGUAGAAAAUUGAACGUAUCUAGUCUAGAUCGGUCACAGGCUUCUCACCCGCGCCAGUGAAGGAUUUCUAAGGACAUACGAAUUCACGCAAAUAAACAUGUAUGAGUUAUAUCUUUAUGCUCUUAUUCAUGAAAUAAACAUAGCUGGGAUGUAAA